GACACUCCUUUGUAAGAUGCCCCCAGAGCCUUCCCAUUCCUGGAACUGGUGCUUAGGGAAUCAUCUAGACCAAGUUACUUAAAGGCUGAGAUAGUAGUUGGUAUAGCUUGUACAAGGUCUUUCUCAGCAGAGUUCAUACCCCCCCCCCUUUUUUUUAGUUCAUACCCUUUUGAUAAUUUGAAUAAUUAAGGGAUUUCUGGGAGGCCACAUUAUCUCAGACCCACACCUUCUUUUGUGCACUGUCCCUCACUACCAUCCCCUCCUUGAGGAGGUCCUUAGCAUAGGCUCGAUCUUGGAAUGGGAAAUCCGAAUCACUGCCAGCCACUGAGCUUCACCUCCAUCCACCGUUGGCUUGUGGCCUUCUCUGAACUGUGCAAGAGGGGAAAGCUGGAUGGAACCCCUCCUCUGGGUGCACCUGCUGGCACGAGCUAAAGAACCACACGCCAUCACACUCUACUUGACAAGCAGAAUCCAUCCCUAAAAUUAAAACAUUCCUGACCUAUCUGCAAUGACAAGGCAGGCGAGCUUCACGGCGCUCCGGCCCAUGAAGGGAGCUGACACAUUUGUUUUUAAUUUCAAAAGAGUAGAAAGUGAAGAUCUGACCCCGUCAAUCAAGCCCCGUGACAAGUUUAAUCAUUGGUGCCCCACAAAAAUCACGGCUAAAUAGGAAUGCAAAUACUGUAUCACAGGGCUCUUAUAAAUGCUAAUCAAGGAGAAGUAAUCAACUGACAAUUUCACUGAUCUCUUUUCUGAAGAAGUCACCCAAUGCUCUGUCUCUGGGCCACAAAGAGAAGAGAACAGGACAAAAGGGAUGGAUGAGGUCCCCCCAACCUUCCUUUUAUUUUUUCC